UACGUAGGGGGCAAGCGUUGUCCGGAAUCAUUGGGCGUAAAGCGCGUGUAGGCGGCCAGAUAAGUCCGCUGUGAAAACUCGAGGCUCAACUUCGAGCUGUCGGUGGAAACUAUCUGGCUAGAGUCCGGAAGAGGAGAGUGGAAUUCCUGGUGUAGCGGUGAAAUGCGCAGAUAUCAGGAAGAACACCCGUGGCGAAAGCGGCUCUCUGGGACGGUACUGACGCUGAGACGCGAAAGCGUGGGGAGCAAACAGG
rnacentral:rRNA from 1 species